rnacentral:tRNA from 1 species
UCCCUGGUGGUCCAGUGGUUAGGACUCCAAGCUUUCACUGCCGAGGGCCCAGGUUCGAUCCCUGGUCAGGGAA